rnacentral:rRNA from 1 species
CGGCGGACGGGUGAGUAACGCGUGGGCAACCUGCCUUACACAGGGGGAUAACAGUUAGAAAUGACUGCUAAUACCGCAUAAGACCGCAGUACCGCAUGGUACAGCGGUAAAAACUCCGGUGGUGUAAGAUGGGCCCGCGUCUGAUUAGGUAGUUGGCGGGGUAACGGCCCACCAAGCCGACGAUCAGUAGCCGACCUGAGAGGGUGACCGGCCACAUUGGGACUGAGACACGGCCCAGACUCCUACGGGAGGCAGCAG